rfam:Macrostomum lignano uti_cns_0007390, whole genome shotgun sequence.
GGGGUUGUAGCCUAGUGGUUAGAGCGUCCGGCUCGCGACUUGAAGGUCGGGGGUUCGAUUUCCGAUCCCA